rnacentral:rRNA from 1 species
UACAACUCCUGACGGUGGAGGUCUCGGAUUCUUCAUCAAUGAAGAACACAGCAA